UACAAGUUCAGUUUUUAUUACAUUUCAUCUGAAUAUAAGAGCUGGAGUGACAGCAGACAAGACUGUAAAGAGAAAGGAGCAGAUCUGCUGAUUAUAAACAACCAAGAGGAAGAAGUGUUUUUGCGUACACAUGCUGGUCUUGGCAUUUGGAUCGGUCUGACAAAAGAACAGAGAGUCUGGAAAUGGGUUGAUGGCACCACACUAACAUCUGGAUACUGGGCAUAUGGAUAUACCCAAAAUUACGAUUGUGCAGUCAUGACUGCAUCUGGAUGGGGUAAUAAUAUGUGUUAUGCAAAUUAUAAAUGGAUAUGUGAAAGAAGAAUUCUUUAGAUCUGUCAUGAUGUUUAUUUAAAUAAACUAUGUAUAUAUGUUUGUUUAACAUCAUAAUAAAUUAAUUCUCUAAGAGUUCAUAUUUUAAGUUGUGACCAUAACUGUCAUAUUCAUAACAUUGGAUUUUCCAAUUGUGUAAAUGUAUUCAUGAACUGAAGUUUAACAAAAACACAACAGUAUAAUGAUAUGUGACCAUAUAAUGUUAUUGGUGUCAUAACUAAAUCAAGUUGGGUAAAAAAUAGCCCUUGCAUUUCCUAGUAUGUGUGUGGUGAAGUUGCAGACUGGUUUUUUAUUUGUUGUAUGCCAG